GUGUCAGCCGCCGCGGUAAGACGAAGGUGGCGAGCGUUAUUCGGAAUCACUGGGCUUAAAGGGCGCGUAGGCGGUUGUGUAAGUCCAGGGUUGAAGGCCCCGGCUCAACCGGGGAAAGGCCUUGGAGACUGCAUGACUUGAGUGAGCGAGGGGAGGGCGGAAUUCCUGGUGUAGCGGUGUAAUGCGUAGAUAUCAGGAGGAAGGCCUGUGGCGAAGGCGGCCCUCUGGCGCUCAACUGACGCUGAGGCGCGAAAGCGUGGGUAGCAAACAGGAUUAGAUACCCUGGUAGUCCACGCCCUAAACGGUGGGCACUAGGUGUGGGGCUCGAGAGGGUUCCGUGCCGAAGGGAAACCAAUAAGUGCCCCGCCUAGGGAGUACGGCCGCAAGGUUGAAACUUAAAGGAAUUGGCGGGG
rnacentral:rRNA from 1 species